CCUACGGGUGGCAGCAGGCGAGAAUCAUGCACAAUGGGGGAAACCCUGAUGGGGCGACGCCGCGUGGGGGAAGGAAGGUCUGCGGAUUGUAAACCGCUGUUAUGUGGGAGCAAAUUAAAAAGAGUGUACCACAAGAGGAAGAGACUGCCAACGCGGUGCCAGCAGCCGCGGUAAGACAGAGGCCUCAAGCGUGGUGCGGAAUCAGUGGGCGGAAAGCGUGCGGAGGCUGUGGCGUCAGGCGGGUGUGAAAGGCGCGGGCUCAACCCGCGGACGGCACCUGAGACUGUGAGACUAGAGUAGUGGAGGGGUAACCGGAAUUCUCGGUGUAGCCGUGAAAUGCGUAGAUAUCGGGCGGAACACUCGUGGCGAAGGCGGGUUCCUGGACAUUAACUGCCGCUGAGGCACGAAGGCCUGGGGAGCGAACAGGAUUAGAUACCCCAGUAGUC
rnacentral:rRNA from 1 species